rnacentral:lncRNA from 1 species
CAGCACUAUUUCUCAGUCUUCCUUGGGCUGGACUCUUAACAGCAUUUGACACAGUUGAUCACCUGUCCCUGAAGCUUCUCAUUCCCUUGGCUUCAGAAACUGCACGCUCCUGGUUCUCCCUCUAGCCUGACCAGUAGCACCUUCCCAGUUCCUCCUUCUCUACCAGACUGCACAUGGGAGAGCACCAGAUUCGUCUCCCAAACUCCACACACACACACACACACACACACCAGAUUCAUCUCCCAAACUCCACACACACACACACACCAGAUUCAUCUCCCAAACUCCACACACACACACACACACACACGUUUGUCUCCCAAACUACACACACGCACACACACCAGAUUCAUCUCCCAAACUCCACACGCACCAGAUUCAUCUCCCAAACUCCACACACACACACACACACACAGAGUCAUCUCCCAAACUCCACAAACACACACACACACAUCAGAUUCGUCUCCCAAACUCCACACACACACAUGCACCAGAUUUGUCUCCCAAACUCCACACACACACA